GUAUUAAAAUACGCGGUCACGUUCUCGACUGGUUCAAAAGGGUGUGUGUGAUAAAAAGCUCUCAAAAGAGAGAGCUUCGAGGUGCACAAGGGGUGAAUGAAGGAAGAUGUGGUGUGCACUUGUGAGAACCAGCACGACCACGGUUUUCUUUCUCUAAUGAUCCUUCCGCAGGUUCACCUACGGAAA
rnacentral:misc_RNA from 1 species